UGGCAGAAGAUAUGUUGCAAUUCACAUUCCACCCCUUCCAUUUCUCACCCAAAGAGUCAUUACGAGUGAAUGGUAAGCUAAAAUGAUGACUAAAAAAGAAAUAUAUUCUGUGUCUUAGAAAUAAAGGCACAAAAGAAAUUUUAUUCUGUUUUCAGCAAACUAUACUGGAAUUCUAACAUCUGUUAACUGUCUUUUAGGUUUUUAAAAAAUUCGAUUAGGAGUGGUGUUCUGGGAAUUAGAGAGAUUAUAUUGUAAUGGAGUUGGAAUUAUCUACACAGACAAUUGAGGAAAGGGCAUUCCAGGUUGAAUUACAAAGGCAUAAAGGUGAAAGAGAGGGUGACGCCUUUGGAGGUUAUAGGUAGUUUCAUUUGGCUCAAACCAAAGAUGGUAGGAGAUGAAAUUUGAGAGAUAAGGAGCAGCAAAUUGGUGAAGUACCUCAUAUGCCAUGCUAAAAAAUAUUGGAUUUUAUCCUGAAGAUGAAUGGAAAGAUGAUGAAAACAUAUUAAAAAGGAUGAAAAGCCUGACUGCAGUGUGAAACAAGGAUGGUUUCCCGGGAGGAAAGGAGACUAAAGACAGAGAAUACCGGCUGUUGCUGUAGUCCAGAAGAGAAGAUUGGAAGGAAAACUGAAAAGACUUGAUGAUCAAUUAAGUGUUUAUGUUUAGCAUAGAGAUAGGAAACUUUAUUAACUUUCAAAGGCUUGGGUCUUUGGACGAUGGUGCUGUUAAUCAUCUAGAAAAAGAAUAUAAAAGGAAGAGCUGUUAUUCAUCUAGGAAAAAGAAUACAAAAGUUUUGGCUGGAGGAGUGGGAAAACAGAAAUGAGUUAGUUGGUGAAUGUUGAGUUUAAGGAACCCUAAAUACAAUUGAGAAUGUUUAGUAGGCAAUUGAUUAAAUAGACCUGGAGCUUAGGAAAAAGCCUGGUCUAGAGAAUUAGUUCAUCAACCAAUCAACUCAAUAUCAAAUAAUCUCAACUAAAUAACUAAUAGAGUUAUUCAACUAAAUGAUAGCUGAAGUCAUGGUUGUACCACUAAGAAGUUACUGUGGUCUUACUGUGUGCCAGGCAUUUCACACAUCUGAACUCGUUCACUCUCCUUCCAACCCUAUGAAGUAGGUACUAUUAUUAGUCCCAUUUUAUAAAUGGGGGAACAUCAGAGAUGCCAGGUAACCUGCCCCAAAUCACACACACAGCCAGAAAAUGGCAAGACCCUGGCAGUGUAUUUCUAGUGUCUUUGUUUCCCACCAUUAUGCUGUACUGCCCCUUAGAAUAGAUUAUAGAGUUCAUGAUGGGACUGAGAGCAGAAUCAUUUAAGGGUUGGGUUGAGAACUGGGAAGGAAACUGACAAGAGGUAGGCAAAGAAGUAGGGGAAAAAUUAGGAGAGUGUCAUCAUAGAAGUUAAAGGAAGAGUAUUUCAAGAGAAUGGAGGUGAGUGGAAGGCUGCUGAUGACAGCAGUGUUGGAAGAACCACACAUGCACACCCUGAUAUGAAGGUAGGCAGAGCAAAGUGAAGGUCAAUACAACCAGAAGCAGUUCCAGCCCUGACAGAGGUCAAAUCUCUGCUUGGUCUCUAUUUCACUGAAGCUGGAGCAAGUGGCAUGGACUUCAGGAAGGGAGAUGAGAGGUGUGUGUGCAAUGGACUGCACAUUUCCUUUGCAUAUUUAUAGUCUGCUAUGAGUCUUACUAAAUAAAGAUGAUGCCAUACACAGAUGGAGUUAAUUUGUUUGCAUGAUUUAAAUGUAUAGAAAUAUGUGAAUAUGAGGAGGAAAAUGGAAACUAGCCUUUAUUCCACUUUAAGAGCUAUCUGUCCUGUUUACCUCAGGUCGAUCUAAACCAGAGGUAUGGUGCCAAGGCAAAUCAACAUUCCCUGUAGAUGGAUCCUCUCUUUACUCUGUUUUACUCUUAUUUCCCUGUGUGUCUAAUUCUGUCUAAAUUUCCCUUAUUGCGUUGCUCAUUUUUUCUCCUUGUUUCUGAAUUCAUAGCUGCUCAAAAUAGUUGAUUCAUUUUUAUAUUCAGCAACACUGAGAUCCAUACAAUAUGCUUGGCAUUGUGCUUAUGAAUGCUGGCUGUAAGUGGCACACAGCAGCUCUUGGUAAUUAUCUAAUUGUCUCUGGAUCAUGUUCUGAGCCACUUAGGAAAGUUUUCCCCUAAGAAGCACAUUUCGACCCUGGCCUCCAAAUCCCUUGUGUUUUCAAACAUGUGUUUAUUACUAGCUGGACUUCCUAUCAUUUCUAGGAAGAAUUAUUAAACAUUAUCGAACUUAUAAUUGCUUGUCAUUCAUCCUGAUGUCCAUUACAUGGAGUUUUCCAUUUGAGAAGGAGUUGAAUUGCAAACCAAGGCCUGCAAUCACAGAGUCUGCCUUUGUGGCUUUUAAUUUGUGGCCCAAAUCUGAAACCACUCUUAGUUUUCCUGUACGUGGAGCCUUAAGGCCUUUUUGUUUUCUUUCCUGAUGGGCUGUUACUCAGACCUCUUAUCGAACCCGCUUUAUGUAGCUUUGAAGACCACCCUGUUUCUUUGAGAUGGCCUCAGGAGCCUCCCAAAGUAAACCUUUUAUGUGACAUAGAGCUUCUAUUUUAAGUAAAACCAUACAAAUGUAAUGUACACAUUUCCAGAAAAUAAGUCCAGCUAUGUAUUUUUAUGUGAUGAUGAUGACGAUGGUGGUGAGGAUGAUGAUGAUAAUGAUGAUGUGUGUGUUUAUUUCUAAAGGUAUAUGUUGUCACUCUUAGGUGCAAUCAGGUUUGUUAGAAAUAGAAAAUCCUCACAAAUUAGUGAUAAGACCGAUUCAUGAGUAGAGAAACAUUUUAUACAGAAUUUAAGCAACUACAUUCAAAGUACUGAAAUUAAAUUUGUAAAGGGAUCUAAUUAGUAUUCUUUUGAAAAAAAAAAACCUCCCAAAAUUGAAAAAUAAAGAAAAACACCAAAAACAGCCAAAUCCUUCGAAUCAGAUGAAGUCUCAAGAGAUGUCUCAGAAACAAAUAAUUUCAGAUAUCAGACAUCUUAAGCUUGUGAGAAAAAAAAAAAAGGAACGUGUGUUAGUUCUUCCUCUGAUGUCCACCUGGGAGCUCAUGCAUUCGCCCUAAUUUAGAAUCUGCUCCUCCUCUGUUCCAUGAUUGACCCCUUUCUCUCAUUUCCCUCAGGCUUGCCUCCUUCUGGGCUCACCAAGGCUGGCAGUAUGGGGAGAAGCAGCAGCUGGUUUCAGCCUUCACAGCUCACAUCUUCCCAGGACAGAGGUCCUGAGUUAUUGCCCUAAUCUUCUCGAAGUUGUUUCACAGAAACAAGCAUCUGGCGAAGUUCAGCAACUGAUCACCACUCCUUCCUCAAGGUCCUCUCCAAAGCACAAGCUACUUGGCUAGCCUGGCUACUGAGUCCUACUGUAAACCCUCAGUCUUCUCCCUUGUAAAAUAAGGGGUUUAAUUGUUUGUUUUUAUUGCUCCUUCUACUUAUCAUUUUUCUAUGAGUAUAUGCUUCUAAAUAUCAUUUUUAAACAAACAUUUUUAUUUUAGAAUAGUUUUUGGUUUACAGAAAAAUUGUUAGCUUAAUACAGAAACUUCCUGUAUACCCUAUACCCAGUUUCCUCUAUUAUUUAACUCUUACAUUAGUGUGGUCCAUUUUUUAUAAUUAAUAAAUCUACAUCAAUACAUUAUUAUUAACUAAAGUUCAUGCUUUAUUUAUUUUUAGUUAGUUUUUACCUUUUUCUGUUGCAGGAUCCCCUGCCCAGAACACCACAUUACAUUUAGUUGUAGUGUCUCUUCAGGCUCCUCAGUGUCUCCGAAAUUCCCUGUUUUUGAUGACUUUGAUUGUUUUGAGGAAUACUGGUGAAGUAUUUUGUAGAAUGUCUCUCAACUUAGAUCUUUCUAAUAUUGGUCUUAUGAUUAAACUUGGGUUAUGUGUUUGUAGAAAGAGGACCACAAAGUUAAAGUGCCGUUUCCAUCACGUCAUAUCACACAUGGACAAAAAAGUCAGGAACAUGACUUAAUCACUAUUGAUUUAACUUCAAUCACCUGGCUCAAGUCGUUUUCGUUAUGUGGCUCCACUGCACAUUUACUCUUUUUCUCCCUCUUUCCAUAGUACACUCUAUGGAGGGAAGUCCCUAUGCAUGGUCCAUAUGUAAGGAGUGGGGAGUUAUACUCUACCCCUUUGAGGGCAGAGUAACUACAUAAAUUUUUGGGAAUUUUUCUUCACAUGAAAUUUGUCCAUUGUUGCUUAUUUAUUUACUUGUAUUAGGAUGAACUCAUGUAUAUUUAUCUAUACUUUGGAUUAUUUUAUACUUUGGAUUAAAAUAUUCCUUGCUCAAACUGUCCCAGCUUUUGCCUUUAGAGGCUCCUUUCGUUGCCUCUUGUGUCUCUAUGGCAUGCCCCAUCAAGGUCGUGGUUUUUGUUUUUGAGUACUUUCUUCCUUUCUGGCACUAAAAGAUUGCUCCAGGCUCAUCUUGUGUAUUUCCUGUCCCAGUACUAUAAUCAGCCAUUUCUCCAAGGAGCCCUAGUUCCUUUCAUUGAAGAAUAAAUUAGAAACCAAGAUCUGGGAGGUAGGUGUGCUCAUUUGUACUGGUGUGUCAUAGCUUCUCAUUCCUCUCAGCUGACAGAGCAAGGAAAUAUACUGUGUAUACCAACCUGUGUAAAUACACGUAUCUAUAAAUAUUGCUAUGCAUAACUGUCUGUAUCUAUUAUAACCUAAACAUGAGUUUAUACUGAUAGCUCCAACUCUAAUCCAUUACUACAUGAGUCAUUUGAGCCUCCUCCUCUUGCUCAUCUGUAACCUCCUGCUCCAGCAGUGGGAACCUAACUCCUACCAUCAGCCACUUAUUUAAUCGUUCAUUUCCAGUAUACACAUAUAGCAGCAUCAGAAUUGUUAACACAUACCUCAUGGUAAACAAUUUUAUCAACUGGAAUACAGUGUUUAUAUACAGCGUCUUUUACCUUUAGUUUGAUAGACUCCACUCAUUUCCAGAGUUACAUAGGUCUGCAACUUCCCCCUCACUACACCUUUCAGUGAGGUUGUUUCAUACAUGAGUAAUAAAGUUAGAUUGUUUUGUCACAUUCUGUUUUCAUCCUGGGAUUGUCCAACCUCCUAAAUAAUUGUUCAUAAUUUGCAUGCAUUAAGGUUCAGUCUUUGUGCUGAAAAGGUCUAUGGGUUUUGACAAGUGCAUAGUUUCUUGUACAUACCAUUAUAUUAUGACACAGAAUAGUCUCUCUGCCCUAAAAUAUCUCCUGUGCUUUACCUAUUCAAACCUCCCCUCCCUCCUACUCUGAACUCCUGGUAGCCAUUGAUCUUUUAACCAUCUCUAUAGUUUUACCCCUUCUAGAAUGUCAUAUAAUUGGAAUCAUGUAGUAUGUAGCCAUUACAUACUGGCUUUUUUCACUUAGCAAUAUACAUUUAAGAUUCAUCUAUGUAUUUUCAUGGCUUGAUAAUUUAUUUUUAUCACUGAAUAAUAUUCCAUUGUAUCGAUAUACUAGUUUGUUUAUACUUUCACUUGUUGGAGGACAUCUUAGUUGCUUACAGUUUUUGGAAAUUAAGAACAGAAGUGCGCUCUGGGCAUGGAGGCUCAUGCCUGUAAUCUCAGCACUUUGGGAGAAUGAGAUGGGCGGAUCA